rnacentral:lncRNA from 1 species
AUUCCAUCAUGGUAUGGACAGGAGACUUCAGGGUGCUUUUUUAGAAACCUUAGUUCAGGCUGGAAACUCAAGAUUCAAGGACAAAAGAAAUCAGGCAUUGUAAAGGAGAUAAAAGCAACAAUUUAGGACGGGUCAGAAGAAACUCUUCCUUAUCUGUGUUCAGUUUUAAAAGGCAUAGAUCCCAGGGAGUCAAGAUGAACUGUCAUCACUACCACCCUGCUGAUCCAGUAUUACCCAUAAAAUUGUUCCUUGUUUAAAUUUUGAAGAGUGCUAAAAACCC